CCAGAGAUGAUAGAAUCUCUUUAAAGGUUAGCAGUUAGUCAACAACUAUUCAUUAAGUACCAUGUAAAAUGUUCUAAACUUGGUAUUGGGGAAGAUAUUUGCAAUGACAUAUCCCAGUCUCACUGAAUUGGAAAGGUCCCUACCUAUGCUUCAGGACUGUUGAACAUAUAGCUUUGACCCAGGCUUUCUCUGCUUCUUAUUAUUAUUACUAAUUUUUCCUUCUAGGCUUCUCAGGAAACAGAAGUUAUUAAAAAGUGGCAAAAGCGUUUGGAAUCUGCAAGUGCUAAGGAGGAGGACUGGAUUUUGGAGAAAAGUGGGGACUUCCUGUAUAAGCUUUCAGGUCUAAUUUAAAUCUUGCGUGGGAGACUGGCACAAGGUAGGAGUAUUGUUAC
rnacentral:lncRNA from 1 species